CGCUCCAUGUUUUGUAUGUGUAAACAGAUGUAUAUACUCGCUCUAUUCCCAAAAGAAUGUAAUUUUAAAAUAGUGUUAUGUUCUUCUAUAUCAAUUUUGAGCAAUUAUAGAUAAAAAAUUAUAAAAUAUAUUUUUCAUAUUAAAUUGAUUUGGAACCAUAAAUAUGAAUACUAUUUAUUAGAAAUUUAAUUUAAUGUCAAGCAGUUUAACUGAGACGUAAUCUACCGUAUUUGAUUAAACUUAAGAUUUCCUGACUUCUUCGUUGGGACGCGACCACACACAGACACACACUGCAAUGAUUCCUCGCAACACGGGCCAAUCAACCGGCCCACGGGCCACGGGCACCGAGGACAGCAAGCCGUUUCUCAGCUUCUGUGUAGCAAGCCGUGGGCCAGAUUGAUCCGACAUUAGCGCGUUGCCCAAUCUUCUUCUUCUUCUUCUUCUUCUUCUUCUUCUUCUUCUUCUUCUUCUUCUUCUUAUUCUUAUCCAUCAUCAAUUUUGAGGAGAAAAAAACGUCCUGGUUGCCCAAUGAUCGCAGGCAAACAGGCCCUUCUGAUGUCUGCAUGGUCUUUUUAGCCGCAUUUGACGUUCAUGAAGACGUCCUUUUUUAUAUAGUUCCUUUAUUUUCAUUUCCUCCUCCUUUCUACAUGCUUUAAAAUUUAUUUUAGUUUUUUUAUUUUUCUUUCCCUCUUUGUUACCACCCGAUUCAAAUAUCCCACGGUCAUGUUCCAACUUUUUAUUGUUUUUCUAGUAUUUGCGAUUUGCCUCAUGCGUCAUUAUUUUUAUUAGUGCAAAGCAUUUCUCAUCAAGGUACAAUGAUUUGUCAUUAUAAUUUAGAACAUUUCCUUGCUUAAAGUUGUAAUGCUUAAUAAAAAAAUUUUGAGCUUCAUAUUAAGAAUGAUCAAGUUAUAGCCUAUCAUGUUCCAUCUUCAUAAGACACAAUUUCUCGUGAAAUUAGAAUAUUUUUCCUAAAUUUAGAAGUUAGAACAUAUCAAUAAAAAAAUGUCCCAAUAUUAUGAUAAGAAUGUUCUAGGUUGAAAGUGUUAAACCAAAAUAUCAUCAAAUAUACUCAAGUUCACUCUUGGUUUAAAAGUUUGGUAAAGAACUCAAUGGCGCAAUUAGAAAUUAGUUUGAAAUUUUGAAUACUCAUUAAAAACCCAUGGGGUAUUUUUAAUUCAUACUCCCCUAACCCAAAAUAUAUGCACUUCUA
rnacentral:lncRNA from 1 species